rnacentral:tRNA from 1 species
AAAGUUUUAAGUUAAAUUAAACUAUUAACCUUCAAAGUUAAAUAUAUAAAUAGAUUAUAGACUUUA